AGAGUUUGAUCCUGGCUCAGGAUGAACGCUGGCGGCGUGCCUAAUACAUGCAAGUCGAGCGAACAGAUAAGGAGCUUGCUCCUUUGACGUUAGCGGCGGACGGGUGAGUAACACGUGGGUAACCUACCUAUAAGACUGGAAUAACUCCGGGAAACCGGGGCUAAUGCCGGAUAAUAUUUAGAACCGCAUGGUUCUAAAGUGAAAGAUGGUUUUACUAUCACUUAUAGAUGGACCCGCGCCGUAUUAGCUAGUUGGUGGGGUAAUGGCUUACCAAGGCAACGAUACGUAGCCGACCUGAGAGGGUGAUCGGCCACACUGGAACUGAGACACGGUCCAGACUCCUACGGGAGGCAGCAGUAGGGAAUCUUCCGCAAUGGGCGAAAGCCUGACGGAGCAACGCCGCGUGAGUGAUGAAGGUCUUCGGAUCGUAAAACUCUGUUAUUAGGGAAGAACAAAUGUGUAAGUAACUGUGCACGUCUUGACGGUACCUAAUCAGAAAGCCACGGCUAACUACGUG
rnacentral:rRNA from 1 species